UGGGGAAUAUUGGGCAAUGGGCGAAAGCCUGACCCAGCAACGCCGCGUGAGGGAAGAAGGGUUUCGGCUCGUAAACCUCUGUCCUAUGGGACGAAAGAGAUGACGGUACCAUAGGAGGAAGCCCCGGCUAACUACGUGCCAGCAGCCGCGGUAACACGUAAGGUGCGAGCGUUGUUCGGAAUUAUUGGGCGUAAAGGGCAUGUAGGCGGACCUGCAAGCUUGGAGUGAAAUCCACGGGCUCAACCCGUGAACUGCUCCGAGAACUGCAGGACUCGAAUCGCUGAGGGGGAGCCGGAAUUCCAGGUGUAGGGGUGAAAUCUGUAGAUAUCUGGAAGAACACCAAUGGCGAAGGCAGGUUUCUAGCAGACGAUUGACGCUGAGGUGCGAAGGUGC
rnacentral:rRNA from 1 species